rnacentral:misc_RNA from 1 species
AAGUUUGUAGAAAACAGACCUUUUAAUGAUCAGAGGUAUUUCUUGGAUGAUGAGAAACUCAAGAACUUGGGAUGGUCGGAACGUACAACGUGGGAAGAAGGGCUGAAGAAGACAAUUGAAUGGUACACCAAGAACCCUGAUUGGUGGGGUGAUGUCUCUGGGGCUUUGCUGCCACAUCCUAGAAUGCUAAUGAUGCCCGGUGGAGUUGAGAGGCACUUUGAAGGGUCUGAAGAGGG